UACGUAGGGUGCAAGCGUUAAUCGGAAUUACUGGGCGUAAAGCGUGCGCAGGCGGUUGUGCAAGACCGAUGUGAAAUCCCCGGGCUUAACCUGGGAAUGGCAUUGGUGACUGCAUGGCUAGAGUGUGUCAGAGGGGGGUAGAAUUCCACGUGUAGCAGUGAAAUGCGUAGAGAUGUGGAGGAAUACCGAUGGCGAAGGCAGCCCCCUGGGAUAACACUGACGCUCAUGCACGAAAGCGUGGGGAGCAAACAGG
rnacentral:rRNA from 1 species